GGGGUUGUGGCUCAGUAGUAGAGCACUUGCCUAGCACAGGCAAGGUCCUGGGUUCGAUUCUCAGCACCA
rnacentral:tRNA from 1 species